rnacentral:tRNA from 1 species
CCGAGAAUAGUUUAGGUUAAAAUAUUAACUUUGGGAGUUAAAGAUGAGAGUAGAAUUUUUUUUUUGAA